CAGAUUUUCCAAAGACAUUCACGAUGCCACUCAUAUUUCGAGUUGUGUCAAGGGAAGAAUGGAACCUUAUAAAGAAAUGAAGAGAUUGAUUAAAUAUUGUUCUUUAAAUAUUUUAUUCACAAUAGUCCUAUGGUAAUCGAUGGCUUUAAUAAUGGCGACCGGUCUUAUUCAUAUGACCCAAGAUGUGAACACAAUAGGUGGUUGAUGGCUUCAAGGAUUCACCUACACCCAAAUACCCGAGACAGGUCCGAAUACAGAAUUAUAAAUAAUGUCACGGGUCUGGGUCGAAUCUGAUUUUCACGAGUCUUUCACGAGUGUAAUUUUAACUGACUUGUCUGUAGGGCGGUACAGAUCCGAACGUGACUGCUGCAGUUGAGAGAGAUCGAGAAAUGUGAUCAUUUAUGCUGCUGCUCUUGCUUUUCAGGAGUGGAACAUGGCGCAUGUAGCUUGUUGUUGGUCAUAAGUCAUCAAAGCAGGAAUACCACAGUUUGAGUCAUUAAUACCCGUAAACCACGGAAAUGGUUCCAAUCAUUUUUCCACCAUUCAUUUUUCGGUAGGGGUCAAGGGAAGAUAAUUUAACGUUGGCGAUUAUCUUCUGACUACACGAACGAUGAGCUAACGUUUAACUAGCGAGCUAAACGUUAGAUAAAUAUACAUGCCCUGAUGGACUAACAUUGCCAAGUACGUCACCGCGUGGAAAAGUGACUAACUUACACGAACGACCGGAAACCCAGUGACAACACUCAGGUCUGUAGCUGCCAUUUUCCGGUGGGAAAGAGAAAUGGCCCUGUAUUUACCAGAAAAGGUAGCUCAUCCACCAUGGCAGAAGAGGAAGAUCCAGAUGGUUGAUUGGGAAACAAGAACAAACAAUGAGGCAUGAGGAUUGGUUGUUGAGGGACUGCUUGUCACAUUGUCCAAGUCCAACAGGAGUGCAUCUCUCAGACCAUCUGGGGCAUGGACAUCCUGUACCAGUCUGAUCCGAGCAGGAGUAUCCAUUUGUACAGCACAUCGAGCCUGUGGACGGACAGGUACUGGCAGGAGGAGCAAUGUGAGUGAGGUCGUCGUGCUGGAUGGUGAUGGAGGCUUUGGUGGUCCACACAACGAAGAAGCAGGUGUUCCUUCCUGUGAUGUGGAGCUGACCUUUGACCUGGUGCCAGUGAGGGAGGUCUUCCCUCCUUGAUUUAAAAAUCCUCAGACUUCACUGCCUCUUCAAUGGUAAGGUCCCUUGCACCAUAGGGACACUUGAUCUACACCACUGCUGUGGUACACCAGUAGGCGCCCAAGAGCCCCCGACCAAAGCCCAGACUCCUGCACAUCCAUCCCUGUAGUCAUUUUGAAUACCUUGAUGCCCUCCUCUUCAUUAUCUGCCCCACUUUAGAGACAGUACCCCAUCCAAUGACUGAUCUGAGAACCCUUUGUAGCAGCGAUGUAGUAACGCGCUUGGCCUAACCACUGUUCCAUAAUUGCUGGUUGUCAACUUCCCUCCUCAUGGUGUGUCAGUUGGGGUUGGUGCGCUAUCCAACUGUUGCCUGCCAUAUAGCCUCCUGCUGCUACAGUGACAGCGCCAUGCCAGCCAGGAUGCCUGCAUGCCCUAGUUUUUUUUGUUUUUUUUAAACAAUGUCCGGUAUGGACAGGGAUCACAGGGAGGGUAGCGGUUGUUCUGGCUCAGGUUCAAGGAGACAUGCUAUUCCACUGAACCUGCCACGAAGAUGGUUCCUUAGCCAUUGAAGAUCCUCCUCGGUGGGCUCUCGGGACAGAAGGUUGUAGUCUUCGACUGGGUACAGGUCCUCCACUGACUGUACAUGGUUGGGCACGGCUGUCUUCCUCCACUCGCAUUCCACGUCCGUACGGCCGAUAUUGUGAACUGCCAAAAUUGGCUGCAUCGCUACACUUACGAGCUCCACAGAGGCGUUUGCAUGUGGUAGAGAGAGUGCCCUGGUCACUUAUAGAGACCUGCCAAGAUGAAGGAUGUUAAGUGCCACACACCUUUCAAUACAUGACUUUAAACACCUUGAAAUGCAUUUGUUGUAAGAAAUGUGAUAUGUAAAUAGUUUGAUUUGAUUAAUGACAUUACAGCUGUAAAAUAUUUAAUAAACUGUAAUUGCAGUGCAGGUUUUCCAUAAACCUUUAAUUGAUAACUUGGGAUUUUAUCAUUUGACAUCAAUCAUAUAGUGGGAAGGAUCCUAUAAAUCUAGACUGUAUGAACGCAUGUACCACUGAAUAAAUAAAUACUGUGCUUUUGAA